rnacentral:lncRNA from 1 species
CAUGUUAUCAAUGAUAUGUUGAGGCAAGUUCAAGAAGGAUAUGUUGAAAAAAAUGUACAUAAAGUGUAAACUGAGCACGAAAGCCUAGCAUAGAUGCUAGCAUGGGGUAACAAGGAGACAGCUGCAACUAAGUGAAAAAUAAUGCAUCAUAUUCCUCAAAAACAACGACCUCACCAUUGAAGCUAAGGCUGGCGUCAUAAGAUGAAACCAAAAAAAAUCUGCAGAAUCAUCAAACUUGAAUACAUUUUAUGGAAUUUAAUCCGUCAAUUGGUUCUAUCAAAUAGAAGGACAUGUUCAGAGUGAUUAAAAUUUCUGGGGCAAAUACAAUACCACAAAACUUAACUAAGAUUGCUACAACAUAGAAGAUUUGUAACAAAGUGCAUAGCAUAUUAAGGCUAAGAUGAGAUUGUUAGGUUUUAGUGCAAGCAUGCAGUUAACCUGAUUAUAGAUCCUGAUAGCUACAUUGUAUGCUUCAGUUUUUCUUUUAAAUGUCGUUAUGUCCAACUCCUAUAAGAAAUUCUUUAUGAAGUUCUAUUUUGAUUGAAAUAUUUAAAUUCUUAAUACAUUUCCUUUUUUAAAUAGGUCAUCAUAGCUAAUUAAAGAAGAGAACAGACAAAAGGAUUACACAACAAGUAUGAAGUUUGCUGUGAAAUUGGAAGAAUGAACAUGACUAGCCUAUUCUGGGUUGGGCUAUGGUUUUCCAAUUCGCAUACAUGACAUUUGUCAAUAUAUGAAACUUUUACCCUUGAGGUCAAUGGCAUGCCCUAAUAUGCAACCGAUGUAGCCUAAGGAAUCAUUGACAUGAACAAGUAAAAAACUAAUUAUUUUAUUCACUAAUUUUGACUGUUCGGCGGGCUUCAAUCACAUAAAAAGAUAUGCAACGACAAAAAGGUUUUUGGGGCAGAUACAAGAAUACAAGGAUCAACAAUUCCAACUACAACAAAGAGAUUGAGAAAAAUGCAUGUAAUCUUAAUGAGAUGAGAUAGCUUAUGUCAUAUGCCAGCAAAUAACUAACAUGAUGGUAGAGUCAUCUUGACAAGCUAGUAAAUUUAUGUACUUCUACUUAGAGGCUGUGUUUGGUUCCUCGAUAGCUAACCAGGGGGUGAAUAACAUUAACCACUGGUAGUCACCACUUAAUCAGUCAACCAUGAAAAUGGAAAAAUUGCCAUUUGGUUGCUCCUCACUUAACCGGCCCUUUUUGUUGAUGUGGUAAAAAAGCUGUUUGGUUGAAAAAGUAUGGGUUAAGUGCCACAUUUUUUAUAUGAUAUGAACAAGAAAAUGUAGCAAUAAAUAAGGGCAAAAGGUGAGGGGAGAAGGGUAAAUCAGGGAGAAAAAAAAUGAUAGGAUGGGGCUUAACUAGGCUGCUAAAGUUAUGCUCCUCCCCCAUCUCCCCGCUCCCCCAACUAGGAAAUAUCUUUAACCAAGUUGGGCAAGUGGGCAUUCACUGAAUAACCACCACUUAACCGGAGGUUAUCCAAGAAUCAAACAGGGAGUAGAACCUAUGUAUAAGUGACCAACAAAUUGAACAUAAAUAUAUUCCAAAUAGAACUACAUGAAGGCAUUUCAGUGCAAAGAAUAUGCAUGUAUAAGGAGCUACAUAGUUAGGAGGAUUUAAUUUAAUAGGAUGCAAAGUUUUAAUAUCUGUUCCUAAGUAUUAUCUCAUCGAGAGU